GAGGAGCUAGCUCAGUGGUAGAGCACAUGCCUAGCAUGUACGAGGUCCUGGGUUCAGUCCCCGGCACCUCC
rnacentral:tRNA from 1 species